UAGGGAAUAUUGCACAAUGGGGGAAACCCUGAUGCAGCGACGCCGCGUGAGUGAUGAAGGCCUUCGGGUCGUAAAGCUCUGUCGUAUGGGACUAACAAAAUGAAGGUACCAUGCAAGAAAGGAUCGGCUAACUUCGUGCCAGCAGCCGCGGUAAGACGAGGGAUCCUAGCGUUGUUCGGAAUUAUUGGGCGUAAAGCGGGUGUAGGCGGACUUAUAAGUCAGGUGUGAAAUCCCAGGGCUCAACCCUGGAAGUGCACUUGAUACUGCAAGUCUUGAGUGUGGUAGAGGCCAUUAGAAUUCCUGGUGUAGUGGUGAAAUACGUAGAUAUCAGGAGGAAUACCGGAGGCGAAGGCGGAUAGCUGGGCCAACACUGACGCUGAGACCCGAAAGCGUGGGGAUCAAACAGGAUUAGAUACCCCAGUAGUCCCUGAGCGGGCUGGCAAGGCGCAU
rnacentral:rRNA from 1 species